GAAAACAUGUGUGCCCCUUCUCAAAGAGCUGAUGUUUCUUGUGCCAGAACAAUCAGCUGCCACACAAACUAAGAGACCGGUUUCAACUGCAGACCGCCGCACCGUAGAAAGCUCUCCAGUGUGCUCUCAAAUUAUUGAGGACUGCGGCAAAGAUGAAAAUCUCUCAUCUUCAGAGACCACUUCAUACAGUGUUCCACAUAGAGCUGAGGCAUCACAUGGAGCUGUUCACCUAUCUGUGUCGUAAAUGAAGUUGUUUUUCUUUGUUUAUUGUCACGCUUUUAAAAUGUUUUUUUAAUUAUUAUUUUUCUUUCAGACAAAGUCUCGCUAUGGGAACGAUGGCAUCUCUGUCCACUUCUUUCAUCAGCAAGGCCCCGUCAGAUACAUCUACUGUUCCACAAAGGUCUUCAAAGCUCACCAUGCUGAAGGACUAACAAACCCCAGAUUGCUGUUUCAAGACUUUAUGGGAACUUAGUUCUUUCAGAGAAAACUUGCACCCACAAAGCAACAGGUGGAGGAGAAAAGACCUGAAGCUCACCAUCAGCUGAGAAGAUCAUCGGAGUCUCUCUUCCCUCUAUUAUGGACAUUUACUCCACACGCUGCAUCCGCAAAGCAAACAGCAUUGUGGAUGACCCCACGCACACCUCACACACACUCUUCACCCUUCUGUCACCCGGAAAGAGGUACACACAACCAGACUGUUGAACAGCUUCUUCCCCCAGGCAAUCAGGUAUCUCAACAGAGGACUGAACUGAGUUGGACACACACACACACACACACACAGCAUGCACACAGCUGAGAACUGUUCUUAACAGAGAACUGAACUGUGCUAGACACAGUCUCACACACACACAACAGAGAGCUGGUCUGAACAGAGAACUGAACUGAGCUGGACAAGUACACACACACAAAUUUGUCUUGUUUACAUGCACACGUCACUUUACAUUGAUCUUGUUUACAUGUACACAUCACUUUAAUAUUUGUAUCUCUUUCCACUCACUGUCAAACACUAUUCUUUUGCACAGAGUCUGUGUUAUGUGUCUUGUUUGUCUGCACUGUCUUUUCAUCCUGUGCACUUAUGUUGUAUGUUUAGUUUCUAAAGAAUGCACCUUGUAGUAUAGUUUAGUUCUAUGUUUGUCCACGUCACCUGUACUUUGUUUUUGUUCUGUGUAGCACCUCUGGUCCAGGAGGAACGUUGUUUCAUUUCACUGUGUACUGCAUCAGCUAUAUAUGGUUGAAGUAACAAUAAAGCCUCUUUGACUUUGACUUUGGACCAUGUCAGAAGCCUGUGUAGGUUUUUUAAGAUGGAACUAAAGCAGGGUCCAAACAGUCCACAUAUACACACAGACUUUUGUAUAUAUUUUCAGAUAGAAUUUGUGUUUGAAUUUGUAUUAAGUUAAUUAGUGUUUAAAGUUUGCAAUAAUAUGUAUAUAUGCACAGUCUCUGGUGUGUGUUUUUUCACUAUUGCUUUUUGUUUU